CAAAAUGUUUUAAAAAGAUUUACAAGAGUUUUUAAAGGGUUUUCUUAUAAUUUCUUUUAAAAUCUUUAAAAACUCUUGUACAUCUUUUAAAACCCUUUAAAAAUUCCUUGUAAAUCUUUUAAAACACUUUCAAACCCAUUAAAAAUCUUAAAAAAACUCUUGUAAGUCUUUUAAAACCCUUUAAAAUCCCUUGUAAAUCUUUAAAAACCCUUUUAAAAUCUCUUAUAAAUCUUUUAAACCCUUUUAAAAUCUCUUGUAAAUCUUUUAAAAUCCCUUGUAAAUCUUUUAAAAUCCCUUGUAAAUCUAUCUCCCGCCAAAAAAAAAAUUUUACGGGAAAAUUGUUUUUUGGCGGGAAAAUUUUUUUCGGAAUUUUUUGGCGGGGAAAAUGUUUUUGAAAAAACAUUUUGGCGGGAAUUUUCUUUUUCGAAAAUUUUUGGCGGAAAAAUUUUGGCGGGAAAUUUUAUUUUGAAAUAUUUUAGGCGAAAAAUAUUAAUAUUUCAUUUUGUUAACCUAAAUCAAUUUACAAAUAGGGGUAAAAUGGUCAUUGAAAUUUUUAAUAGGGUAUAAAUGAAAAUGGUAGAAUUGAAAAGGGGUAGUGUGAAAAGGGCAUUAGAAAGAAUUUUUCUAUUCGAAAAAUAACGGGUUUGAUUGGUGACUAAAAUGAAAGCUACUAGUCAAAAGAGUGUUGCUAAAAGCUAUACAAAUAAAAUCAAUAAAAAUAACUAUGUAAUAUU
rnacentral:sRNA from 1 species